GUACUUGCUUUGGAAGCACUUAUACUAAAAUUGGAAGGAUACAGAGAAAAUUAGCAUGGCCCUGUGCAAGGAUGACAUGCAAAUUUGUGAAGUGUCUCAUAUUUUU
ensembl:snRNA U6 U6 spliceosomal RNA